UGAGAGUGAGUGAGUUCUUAUGAGAUCUGGUGGUUGGAAAGUGUGUGGCACUUCCCCACCUCUCUGGCUCCUGCUCAGGCCAUGUGAAAUGCUUCCUUCGCCUUUGCCUCAACCGUGAUUGGAAGUUUCCUAAAGCCUCCUCAGAAGCUGAGCAGAUGCCAGCACCAUGCUUCCUGUAUAGCCUGCAGAACUGUGAGCCAAUUAAACCUCUUUUCUUUAUAAAUUACCCAGUGUCAGGUUUUUUUUAGAGCAAUAUGAGAAUGGCCUAAUACACCAUGCUUUUCCUGGAUACCUCCCCAUAACUAGCCUUCCCUACACCCUUCUUUUUUUAUUUCAGAUAAGGAUGGUAUUUAAGCCUGAACUCAAAGCAACAUCUUUGAGAAUUACUUAUUUCUUCCUGGGUAUCUCCAAUGUACACAUGAGGCAGACAUGUUAAUAAACCUGCUUGUUUAUCUUUCACUUUGUGUUUUGUUACAGAGCUCCAUCUCACUAAGAACUAUGAAGGCGAAAGGGAAACUUAUUUUUCCCUCCCUUAAUCUCUUCUCUUCUUCACCCCAGCCUCCUCAUACAGUACCCAAAAAAGAAGAGGUCAUCCAUAGAAAUAUAAAAAGAGUGACAGACAUCUUCCUUCUUCUCCAGUCUCUGCCCAGUACAGUUUAAAUUAAAUUCUAUUUUUUCUGGCUACAAGUUUCCAAAAUAAGCUGUGCUUUCCUAAAGCCCUAUGAACUGAAAACUAGCGGUUUCAGCAGGCGCUGCCUCUAAGCCCCCUGACCAUCACAGGAGGAAAUCUCUUCACUGCUGGUGCUGACAACUAAUAACUGAGAGUGCCUGGAAUCCUUUGCCCGCACGUCUAGUGAGUCCAUCACACUCAGGGUAAUUGAGACAGUAGCUGUUACAGGAAUCAACUUGUGGAUACAUCACACUCAAGUCAAAGCCUGGAAAGCUGAGGAAACAACCCCUGACACCCCAAAGGAACAUUCUAAAUAUCAAUGUAAAGAAAUAGGAAAUCUUAAGCUG
rnacentral:lncRNA from 10 species